AUAACACGAAGAUUGGCAA
rnacentral:snRNA from 1 species